UGAUAACAAUACUGGUAUUGUGCACCUCUAGGGUUCCAUUUUCUGAAUCAUGUUGUUGAACCACCAAAUCAUAGGAGACCCUUGCGUUGCACUGUCAACUGUCGUCCCCUUCGCUGUAAUAUAUUGAAAAGUUCAGACAACUGAUACUUCCUAAUUUAGUAAUGACUUUUUUCUUCUUUUGUUCAUUAGUUGUUUUGUUAUGGGUUUGUAUUUUUGGGUUGUCUUGAUGUGUUCUACUCUUCUUCCUCCGUUAUGGUUCGUUCUUCUUUCAUUUUACUGCAUGCUGCAACUUUUUUUUUUUUUGUAAAAGCUUCAUUUCAAUCUUUGACAUAGUUGAAGUCACAUUAUGUUGGCCAUGACACAAAGUUAAUGAUUUUUCCGUUGUGUACCUCCGAAUUUUGGGGUAAGUAAAGUUUUUC
rnacentral:lncRNA from 1 species